UACGAAGGGGGCUAGCGUUGCUCGGAAUCACUGGGCGUAAAGCGCACGUAGGCGGGUCUUUAAGUCAGGGGUGAAAUCCCGAGGCUCAACCUCGGAACUGCCUUUGAUACUGGGGAUCUCGAGUCCGGGAGAGGUGAGUGGAACUGCGAGUGUAGAGGUGAAAUUCGUAGAUAUUCGCAAGAACACCAGUGGCGAAGGCGGCUCACUGGCCCGGAACUGACGCUGAGGUGCGAAAGCGUGGGGAGCAAACAGG
rnacentral:rRNA from 1 species